rnacentral:lncRNA from 1 species
GGGCAAUGAGACCCUCCUCCUAACCACAUGGGAGCCAGUCUUCUCCUAGUGGCCUUCAGAUGAAAAUGUAAAAUUUUCAGCUCCUCCUGUGCCAUGCCUGCCUGGAUGUUGCCAUGCUUCCACCUUGAUAAUAAUCUGAACUUCUGAACCUGCAACUGGAUGGAACUAGAAAACAUCAUCCUGAGUGAGGUACAUCAGACCCUAAAGCAUUCAUGAACUGCAGGGACAAAAAUGAAGAAGAUCCUGAUGUGGAAAGCCGGUACGUGCUGCGAGCAAUCGCCAUUAUAAGAUGGCGCGGGCCUCCGCUGUGCCUAACUAGUAAACAAGCCUUGUACGCAGGUGCAAGAGUGAAUUCACUCCUAGUCACUCCCAUUCUCGGGGUGUAAUAGUGGGGUGAUGGGCAAGCAACGAAUCGGGAGCUGUCACGCCAUAUCAGGUGCUGAAACGUCUCGCUGCGGGUUAUAAAAGCAGCGCCAUUUUCCCGGUUUGGGAUCUUCCUGAGAAGCAAGCAAUAAAGCUUUUGCCGCGGAAGAUUCUGGUUUGUUGCGUCUUUCUUGCCGGUCGAGCAGGACGCAAUAAGUGGCGCCGAAGAACCCGGGAACUGUCAUCACACCAGCGCAAGGAAGAUCCCUCGUUCGCGGGGCAGAAUCAGAACCGUGGGACAAAAGGCUCUACAAGGUACGUACAAUCUUGAAAUUUCUUCAGAGUUAGAAGCCCUUUUGAUUGUUUGCACGGCGAUUACACUUUUCCUUUCGGUUUCAU